rnacentral:rRNA from 1 species
UACAGAGGUCCCGAGCGCUGUUCGGAUUCACUGGGCGUAAAGGGUGCGUAGGUGGUGAGGUAAGUCGGAUGUGAAAGCUCCAAGCUCAACUUGGAAAUGGCAUUGGAAACUACCUUGCUAGAGGGUUUGAGGGGGGACUGGAAUACUUGGUGUAGCAGUGAAAUGCGCAGAUAUCAGGAGGAACACCGGUGGCGAAGGCGGGUCUCUGGGCCGAUACUGACGCUGAGGAGCGAAAGCGUGGGGAGCGAACAGG